UACGUAGGGAGCAAGCGUUGUCCGGAAUCAUUGGGCGUAAAGCGCGCGUAGGUGGCUUCGUAAGUCCGUUGUGAAAGUCAAAGGCUCAACCUUUGAAAGCCGAUGGAUACUGUGAAGCUAGUGUACGGAAGAGGCGAGUGGAAUUCCUGGUGUAGCGGUGGAAUGCGCAGAUAUCAGGAGGAACACCAAUAGCGAAGGCAGCUCGCUGGGACGUUACUGACACUGAGGCGCGAAAGCGUGGGGAGCGAACAGG
rnacentral:rRNA from 1 species